rnacentral:lncRNA from 1 species
CAGUGCUAUCAAACAAAUGGGAUUCCUGUUUGCCAACAGAUUUUUUAGAAAUUCACUUGCCAGUGACUACAUAAUGCUAGCCUGGAGAAAUGUUUCUGUGGAUUAUGUGGCAAGAACAUUGUGAAUGAUAUCUGUGCUAUUUGCCAGUGGCUACUUUUUAUUGUUGAAAGUAUUAGUGUGAUUUUCAGUCUUUGGCAAUCCCUUUGUGCUGGAUUUUGUAUUAACCCCUCAUUAAGCAUCCAGUUCCAGUUAUGGGCACUGACUCAUACCUGUAGAAACACCUUCCACUGGUACUUCAUGUGCUCAGCGAGGCAAUGGACUGCAAAAAAAACUCACAAUCAUCAAUCAAAAAGAUUUUACAGACUUGCUCCUGACUUUCAUUAACCCUGCAUCUUCAGAGCUGAGAAUGCAACUCUGUAGCUCAGGGCUGAAAGUUUGGAUCAGAUCUUUUGACCUGAUCAAACAAGAAGUUGAAAGUUUCAAGGAAAAGUGCAUGAGAAGUAGUGUACCGAGAUGCCAAGAAACAUGUAAAGACAAUCUGCUUUGUAACCUCCUGUGCGGCAGUUCCUCCUAGCACCUGCCUGUGACUGGUCAGCUGGCAGUGAGCAAAGAGGGUAAAAAUGAGGCUCCUUUCCACAGCUACUGUCAGCCCCUUGUGCUCUGAGCUGAGCUGUCAUGGAUGGCUGAACUGAAAUGAUCCCAAAAUGCAGGAUUUCUGCUUUUAAAUAAAAGCCAACUGACCUUUGAUUUUUUGAAGACC